rnacentral:rRNA from 1 species
GUGUCAGCCGCCGCGGUAAUACGAAGGUGGCGAGCGUUGUUCGGAAUCACUGGGCUUAAAGAGCAUGUAGGCGGCUCAUCAAGCGUCUUGUGAAAUCCCUCGGCUCAACCGAGGAAUGGCUGGGCGAACUGAUGGGCUUGAGGCAGGUAGGGGCGCGCGGAACUCUUGGUGGAGCGGUGGAAUGCGUAGAUAUCAAGAGGAACGCCGGUGGCGAAGGCGGCGCGCUGGGCUUGUCCUGACGCUGAGAUGCGAAAGCCAGGGGAGCAAACGGGAUUAGAUACCCUUGUAGUCC